rnacentral:rRNA from 1 species
CAGCGCCACGGUAAUACAGAGGGUGCGAGCGUUAAUCGGAUUUACUGGGCGUAAAGCGUGCGUAGGCGGCUUCUUAAGUCGGAUGUGAAAUCCCUGAGCUUAACUUAGGAAUUGCAUUCGAUACUGGGAAGCUAGAGUAUGGGAGAGGAUGGUAGAAUUCCAGGUGUAGCGGUGAAAUGCGUAGAGAUCUGGAGGAAUACCGAUGGCGAAGGCAGCCAUCUGGCCUAAUACUGACGCUGAGGUACGAAAGCAUGGGGAGCAAACAGGAUUAGAUACCCGCGUAGUCCCUGUCUCUUAUACA